UUUAUUGAAAAAAUAGAAGCCUCUCACAAAGCCAAAAUAUCCCGAAUGCUCAGUUCAACAUCAAAGAAAUGACAAGUCAAACACUCUGGUACAACACAAAGUGAACCAAAAGAGAAGAGAUGACACUCAGCUCAGCACAGCCCCACCAGGCACCAGCAACUCUCCAAACCAACCAUAGCCAUUAUCCAUGAUAAAACAGGGGCUGGAGAGGGUGAAAUCUGGGUUUCCGUAGAACUCAGGCAGCUGUUGCAGUUGGUUUCCGUAAGUCUGAGAUUUCACUCACAUCUUCAGGCAGUAUUUCUUCAUAAGAUUUUCUACAUAUGAAGGAUUAUUUACAGGCAGGGUGAGCUUAUGUACAGCACACAACACAGCAGAAUAAUUGGCUUACAAUCACAAAUAGCUUAUGGAUUAAUGAUAGUAGGUGUGAAUUUCCUGGUGUAUAAAAAACAAAGGCAUAAUUCAAUCAGGACUAUUUUUCCAUUCGUAUCAGUCAUGUAGAAUGAGCUUCUGGCUUUUAGACUCAGCUUUGCCAAGACAGGAAUUCCCACUUGUGAAUUUUCAGUUUUGUGAACCAUGCAUUUCGAGCAUGAGCCAAUAAAAGCUGAAAGCACAAAACUUUCCAUCACAGUGAUAUCUAAUCUAGAUACAAAUCUAAAAAAAAAAAAACAGAAGAAAACAGAAAAAUUUCAUAUACACAGGGAAUCUCUUAAGAUAUAUCCAGGUUUUAUAUGUUUUGAUACCUGAAAGCCUAUGGCUGAUUUAGUGCUAAGAAUAAAACUUCAUUUGUUCUGCUGAAGUGCAUUGUUAGCAAGUGAUGCAUUCUUCUUCACUCAAGGAUUCUUGCACUUCUGUGAUGUAAAUGGGCUUUGUGGAUGAAGAACAGCGACUUUGGUUCACAAUAUCCUUGUAUAAAGAGGAAUUGAUACCAAAACUGCUGUGUCUAGCAAGGGGAAAUGCAGUCAUUUUUCUUUGGCAUUUUCCCAAACCUGACAAGUCACGACAAACAGUUUUCUGUGGCUGCGUGAUGGCAGUCUGGAGGGACCAGCCAUCCUUCACAUCUUUACUAACUCUGAGUUCCCAAGGAGUCUUUCAUCAGAGAAACUGUACAGCAGGGGAAGAAAAUGAAAAAUCCUUGCAAUCCCUCCUUUGGAAAAGUGAAGGCCGCAGAAUAGAUUGCACCUAGAGCAUGGAUUGUUUUGUAUGGACAUACUCAUACUGUGGCUCCCAUGACUGCUUGGGGUUGCCGCCAGUUGAAAGCCACAGGCUCUGCCAGGGGCACCUCCCCUCAGUGACUGCAGAGCCUUCUGUGAGCACAGCGGUCAAGUCCUUGGGAGAUAAGUAUUUGCCAUACAUCCAAAGGCAAUAAAAGAGAUCGUAAAAUAAAAAUGCUUUUAGUAAAAUAGAAUUCAAGGAGCAAAAUCUUUUCUUCAGCUAUUUCCUGCUCAUUUAUUGGCCUCAACUUGCUCAGCCAGCCCACACAGCCUAAACGGGGCAGAAUUUGGUCUACUUUACUUAUUCAGGCUCCCUCAUUAAAAACACACACACUGGAGGAAACUCAUGUCUAUGUAUAUGGGAAGAGCCACACAGCUCCUCCCACACCUGCUGUGUCAUAGAAUCAUAGAAUGGCCUCGAUUGAAAAGGACCACUUUGAUCAUCCAUUUCAACCCCCUGCUCUGUGCAGGGUUGCCAACCACCAGACCAGGCUGCCCAGAGCCACAUCCAGCCUGGCCUUGAAUGCCUCCAGGGAUGGAGCAUCCACAACCUCCUUGGGCAACCUGUUCCAGUGCAUCACAACUUGCUGAGGUCCCAGGAGCACCUCUCAGUGCAGCACCCUGGUGCCUCCAUCCGCACUGAGGUACGCUGCCCUUGUGUUCUAAGAACCAAAGACAUCUCCAGGAGGCGAAGGAAGAGAGUGGGCUACAAGGGGCUUCACCUCACAAGGUUUUCUACAUGGCCAGCACGGACUGGGGAGUGCCUCUUUCUUGUUCUUUUUAUUUGGAUCUUUCAGAAGCUGCUAUUUGUUAUUUUGAUGCAAAACAAUUGUUUGUAACUAUAAUGCUGAAAAACACACAUUAAUAGUCAUGUCAUGUAACUUGUGCAGUCUGUCGAAUACAUUUAGCAUAUAAACACGGUGCAAAAAGAGAUAUUUCACUACCAAAAAUACAGAAAUACAGUGUCUUUUUACCUCAGUCAGUGUAUACACAGCAUAAUACUGAUGGACUGGGACCUCUUGUGUUAAAUACAAUGGCAAGACUGUUGUCAAUGUUUGCUAGAUAUUUAGACAACCUCUAAAAUCAAAAAGAAAGCUUAUCCUCAGCUACAUUGCUGAAGUCAGUAAGAACUUCUGUUGCAUUAUGCAGCACACUGUGAAAUAGGAAAUCUUCUGUGCCAGCGAUGCUGAUGUCAGUUCUCCACAACAGUGAGUCUCAUGCUGGUGCCACUAGUGAGAUUACCUGUAGGUGAUAUAGCUGGGAAAGAUUAUUCCUGCUCAUUUUUUGAGCAGCCCUUCAGUAGUUUAGCAUUGUUUUAGCAAGCUAAGAAACACAGCAUGGGCAGCAUCUCUGGGCUCAGCCCUCCUGGUCAUCCACCAGCAUGGUGCUCCCACAUCCAGAGGCUUGGAGUGCAGGUGGCCAGGCUUGGUGUAGGAUCCCAGAAAGCAUCAAGCUGCUUCAGGAAAGCUGUGCCUCAUUUCUGCCCCACAGUCCUCCCCCAUCUCUUCUGCUCUGGGAGGACAAUGGGGUUGUACUCCACUCUAAGUCUAUAUAUGCAUAUAUAUCACAUAUUCCUAUAUAUAAUUAUAUAUAAGUACAAAAGUUCGCUGCUUUGUUGCUUUCCCCGGUGACAUGAUUACAUUUAGUUAAAAAAGAGAGAGGUGAUUUUAUUCUCCUCAAAAAGAUUGAUUAGUGCACUCAGAAUUUUAUCCCUAAUUUAGUUUUAAAUCUGCACUCCCCAUUUCCAUAAUUUCUAUUUUGUUUUUUAAAUAAAAAACCAACAUGGGACAAGCAUCUGAAUUGUAGGAGCAAGUCUGGAUUAAAACACACCCCUUUCAGUCUGACAUUCUGAAUCAACAGCAGGUCAAUGUGAGGUGCAAAUUUCAUGGAGAAAUGCUCAUCCUUGGGAUGCACAGAUUGGAGGUUUAACACUUUUGUGUUGGUGGAGAGAAAUACAGAUGAGGGAAAGAGCUGUAUUCCCUUGAAUGCAUUUAGGCAAACUAAAAUCUCCACACUUAGAUAUCCUGCACUGGAUCUCAAGCACUGAAGGGGCUGCACGUCGGCAUCACAUGAAGCAACCUCCAUCCAUUACUGCUCAAAGCCAAAUUUACUCACAAUGAGAGGAAAGGAAAGGAACUAGAUUCUUAAAAGCAGUGUAGACAUCUUUUGGGAUUUUCCUUCUUUUUUUUUUUUUCUCUUUUUUUUUUCUUUUAACCAUAGGUUUGUGUGAUCCAGACAUCAGAUUAUGAAGAAAAUCUUGGCAUAUAAUGAGAGCUGAGCACCUUCCUGCCCCAGUAAGAGCUCGGUGCUUACCUCUGCUGUUAGGAAAUCACAGAAAAUCAGUGUGGACAGGAGGCUGCCAGGCCACCUGCACGGUCCCUCUGCCUACACCAUCUCUGCACUAUCUGUACCUAUCUGUGUUUCAUACAGUCUCAUACAGCACCCCAGUUAGUCAUCUUACCGCAGUGCUCUCUUUUCUGAAGCACUGUGUCACGUUCAUGCCAUUUGAUUUUACUGGAUAGAGCAACCAUCCUGAGAGGAACAUAGUGAAUGUAUGGGAACUACUGAAUCACAUCUGAACCUCUGAUCACCUGAGGUGAGCACUGAGUCAGCCAUGGGAGCACAGGUGAAGGCAAUUCAUCUGUGCUGCCCAAAGAGGUGGAGCCUGGCUGCACCUCUCCUAGACCCAUUUAAGGGCUGACUACCAGUGAGGAAGGGUCUCUUCAGGAGAUCCCUCUUCUGGAGUUUUGCAGUGAGCCUGGGAUGUGGCUGUUCCAUUAGAUCAACCAUGUGAUGAACUGCACAUACUGCUUGUUCCCAAGAUCUUGUUCUGUGGCUGCAGCAUCGAGGAGGAAGCUCUGGUUUCCCUCCUGUGUGUGGGUACAUGGUUCCAGUUCAUAGGCUCUGUGCAGCUCAAUACCCUAGGCAAUGCUAAGCAGAAAGAACAUUAUGGAUUGAAUCACAGCAAGAAUGUGAAGGAAAAAAAAUCUUACAUCAAUGAAGGAAAUCCUACAUGAAUACAACUGUAGUUUAAGAGAUGGCAUGCUGUCUUGUUCUGUUCACCUGCCAUAUAGGGCAGCACUUUUGCAGCACCUACCUCAGAGUUGGCAUUCAGACACUUGAAAUGCACAAGUGCCUCCUGCAUGACUGCAUACAUCUUCCAGAGUGGGCUGGGCUGGAAGCAUCAGACAUAAAUGAUUAGCAGAGAAAACAAAGGAGUACCAAUAACUUCCCAACUUCCUUCAAACUAAAGAUUGUGGGUGUCUGAGAUCUCAAUAUACAACUACAGCUUUACCAUCAUUUGUUUUAUGCACCUGCUAAUGGGAUGAUGAUACGUUGGGGUAUUUAUUGGAGAUCAUGAAGAUGUGAGGACUUUGGAAAGAGUUUUUCUGUUCCUCUGCUUGAUUUGUCUCGCAGUGUGCAAAAUCUCUUCAGAAGUCACCAGGUUCCUCAAAUGGGGAAAAGUAAAGGACCGCAAGACAGUUAUAUCAUGCAAAAGUUGAUAGAUCAAAAUCUGCUGUUAAAGAAAAGUACUGACAGCAAAAAGUGUGGAAUGUUUCCAGUUGCCAGGUACCAGUUCCCUCUUUCCUAUUUGAUGUGCACUCCUGGCGCUGCUGCUGCUGGAUUAUCACUUGAUGUGGGAGGUGUAGGAAGGACAUGGCCUGGCAGGCACAUCCAUGCUCAGAAGCAUAAACUGCUAUUCCUACCUCUGUGCCAGAUUCCCUGUACUGCUGCUGUCAGAGGCUGAUGUGGUUUGAAUGCUAUGUGUCCAGUCACCCAGUCUUGCUCUCUUCCACUUGGAUUCCCCACUCUUUUACUCUCUUUGUUCACAAGCAGGACAUGAAAUGGUGUGUCUGCA